CCUACGGGAGGCAGCAGUGAGGAAUAUUGGUCAAUGGGCGCGAGCCUGAACCAGCCAAGUCGCGUGAGGGAAGACGGUCCUAUGGAUUGUAAACCUCUUUUGUCGGGGAGCAAAAGACGCCACGCGUGGCGUUCCGAGAGUACCCGACGAACAAGCAUCGGCUAACUCCGUGCCAGCAGCCGCGGUAAUACGGAGGAUGCGAGCGUUAUCCGGAUUUAUUGGGUUUAAAGGGUGCGCAGGCGGACGAUCAAGUCAGCGGUAAAAUUGAGAGGCUCAACCUCUUCGAGCCGUUGAAACUGGUUGUCUUGAGUGAGCGAGAAGUAGGCGGAAUGCGUGGUGUAGCGGUGAAAUGCAUAGAUAUCACGCAGAACUCCGAUUGCGAAGGCAGCAUACCGGAGCGCAACUGACGCUCAUGCACGAAAGUGUGGGUAUCGAACAGGAUUAGAUACCCCUGUAGUC
rnacentral:rRNA from 1 species